rnacentral:lncRNA from 1 species
AUUUAACUAGCUUUUUAAGCUAGUUCCCACCGAAACGUCGUAAUUUUAGAAGUUCGGUAUGUUACAUGAACGAUUCACCGCCUUCUUAAUUUUUUAGGUCACCUAUUCACCGCAUUUCACUUAUUUACUAUUUCUUUCUAUAUCUAUAUAUAAUCCUAACAAGUACAUAAAAAUUUUAACAAAUCACAUAUAAUCUUAACAACCUGAAAAUCAUAAUAAUUUAUCCAUACAAUUUCAUAUAACCAUAACAGCCUGAAAAUACUAAUAGUCUAUCCAUACAAUUUCAUAUAAUCUUAACAGCCUGAAAAUCCUAAUAAUCUAUCCAUACAAUUUCAUAUAAUCUUAACAAUCUAAAAAUUCUAAUAAUUUAUCCACACAAUUUCAUAUAAUCUUAACAGUCUGAAAAUCCUAAGAAUCUAUCCAUAUAAUCUUAACAGCAUGAAAAUCCUAAUAAUCUAUCCAUACAAUCCGAACAAUCAAAUAAAAUUUUAAUGAUCCACAUAUAAUCCAAACAACCUCACUUUUUUCUAUUUCCUAUAUAAUCCACGUACAAUUUUAAUGAAUGCGGCGAACGAUUCACCGUAUUUAAAAAAAAAGAGAGAAGAAAUUGGAAAAAGCGGUGAACGAUUCACCGCCUUUAAAAGAAAUUGGGGAGUGCAGGGAACAAUUCACCGCUUUUCGAAAAAUAAUC